UUUGGAGGCAAUCCCAGAAGCUCAUCUAGAAACACAUCUUGGAAUUCCUUUACAGUUCUAACCUUGUCCACUGUCAGCCCUUCCUCUUUCAACUAACUUACAAAUGCCAAAUAGCUCACAACCUUUCUGAAUCCACUUUUCGGCCCUCAAUGCCGACACCACAUUAGACAAAUAAUCCCUUCGCUCGCCUAUCAUCAUAACCUUCUCACCCUCCGUGGUCCUUAACACCAUUCGUUUUGC
rnacentral:lncRNA from 1 species